rnacentral:lncRNA from 1 species
GAAAUAAGCAGUAUUCGUUGUAAGGAUAUAGUUUUCAAAGAUGAUCAUUUUUUAAUCAAGAUAUUUAAGAGUAAAACUGACCAAUAUAGAUUAGGUGACGAAAUUGUCAUUUGUAAAGGAGAGUCAAUUGCUUGUCCAUAUUUAUUAUUGAAAAAGUAUUUUCAAUUAGCUAUGAUUAAUUCUGAAUCAGAAAACUUUUUAUUUAGACCAAUUUUCAGAUCAAAACAAGUUUGUUCAUUAAUAUAUAAAAAUAAACGGUUAAGCUAUACCAGAG